rnacentral:rRNA from 1 species
CGGUAAUUCCAGCUCCAAUAGCGUAUACUAAAGUUGUUGCAGUUAAAAAGCUCGUAGUUGGAUUUCUGCGGGGACGGAGCGGCCGGACGCAACUUGCGUCUCGAGCUAGCGCUUUCCCCGCAUCCUGCCGCGAACCGUGCUACCAUUAGUUUGGUGGCGCUGGGGAUCGGCUCGAUUACUUUGAGAAAAAUAGAGUGUUCAAAGCAGGCCACACGCCUUGAAUAAGUUAGCAUGGAAUAAUGACUAAGGACUUCGGUUCUAUUUUGUUGGUGUUCGGGACUGAAGUAAUGAUUGAUAGGGACAGUUGGGGCGGUCUGUAUUCCAAAGCGAGAGGUGAAAUUCUUAGACCUUCGGAAGACAAACAGCUGCGAAAGCGUUCCGCAAGGAUGUUCCCUUUGAUCAAGAACGAAAGUUGGGGGAUCGAAGACGAUCAGAUACCGUCGUAGUCUCAACUAUAAACUAUACCAGCUAGGGAUCGGUCAACGUUUAAUUAUUCGACUUGAUCGGCACCUUAUGAGAAAUCAAAGCAUCUGGGUUCCGGGGGGAGUAUGGUCGCAAGGCUGAAACUUAAAGGAAUUGACGGAAGGGCACCACCAGCCGUGGAGCCUGUGGCUUAAUUUGACUCAACACGGGAAAACUUACCAGGUCCAGACAUAGUAAGGAUUGACAGAUUGAUAGCUCUUUCUUGAUUCUGUGGGUGGUGGUGCAUGGCCGUUCUUAGUUGGUGGAGUGAUUUGUCUGGUUAAUUCCGUUAACGAACGAGACCCCAGCCUGCUAAAUAGCGCGGCUGAGCUUUGCUCGGUGCGAGCUUCUUAGAGGGACUAUGAUGCGCGAUAGCACAUGGAAGUUUGGGGCAAUAACAGGUCUGUGAUGCCCUUAGAUGUUCUGGUCCGCACACGGGCUACACUGGCGCCUGCAACGAGCAUAUCAGCUGGCCCGAGAGGGUCUUGGCUAAUCUUUUGAACCGGCGCCGUGCUUGGGAUUGACCUUUGCAAUUGUUGGUCAUGCAACGAGGAAUGCCUUGUAAACGCGAGUCAUCAGCUCGCAUUGAAUACGUCCCUGCCCUUUGUACACACCGCCCGUCGCUCCUACCGAUGAAUGUUCCGAUGAAAUUUUCGGAGAGCGCCAGAGAACGGGGCUCUGCCUUGCAGAUCUGGAGGCUCAAAGUCACUUAAAUCUGAACAUUUCGAGGAAGGAGAAGUCGUAACAAGGUAACC